rnacentral:siRNA from 1 species
AUGUGAUCGAGUGCUUGGUCGA